AACGAACGCUGGCGGCAGGCUUAACCCAUGCAAGUCGAACGCCCCGCAAGGGGAGUGGCAGACGGGUGAGUAACGCGUGGGAAUCUACCCAUCUCUGCGGAAUAGCUCCGGGAAACUGGAAUUAAUACCGCAUACGCCCUACGGGGGGAAGAUUUAUCGGGGAUGGAUGAGCCGGCGUGGGAUUAGCUAGUUGGUGGGGUAAAGGCCUACCAAGGCGACGAUCCAUAGCUGGGCUGAGAGGAUGAUCAGCCACAUUGGGACUGAGACACGGCCCAAACUCCUACGGGAGGCAGCAGUGGGGAAUAUUGGACAAUGGGCGCAAGCCUGAUCCAGCCAUGCCGCGUGAGUGAUGAAGGCCUUAGGGUUGUAAAGCUCUUUCACCGGUGAAGAUAAUGACGGUAACCGGAGAAGAAGCCCCGGCUAACUUCGUGCCAGCCGCCGCAGUAA
rnacentral:rRNA from 1 species